rnacentral:rRNA from 1 species
GGAACGAACGCUGGCGGCAGGCCUAACACAUGCAAGUCGAGCGCCCCGCAAGGGGAGCGGCAGACGGGUGAGUAACGCGUGGGAAUCUACCCAUCUCUACGGAAUAACGCAUGGAAACGUGUGCUAAUACCGUAUACGUCCUUCGGGAGAAAGAUUUAUCGGAGAUGGAUGAGCCCGCGUUGGAUUAGCUAGUUGGUGGGGUAAAGGCCUACCAAGGCGACGAUCCAUAGCUGGUCUGAGAGGAUGAUCAGCCACACUGGGACUGAGACACGGCCCAGACUCCUACGGGAGGCAGCAGUGGGGAAUAUUGGACAAUGGGCGCAAGCCUGAUCCAGCCAUGCCGCGUGAGUGAUGAAGGCCCUAGGUUGUAAAGCUCUUCACCGGUGAAGAUAAUGACGUAACGGAGAAGAAGCCCGAUACU